AAAAAAAUUCUUUUCCCUCUGGCUUUUCCAGGCUUGGAGCUGUUUAGAAGCCAGAUGUAUUUAUUCCUUUAAUUGGAUCCAGUGCCUAGACAGCUCUGGAGUCAGCUUCCUACAGAGAGGGGGGCAUUACUUUCAUUAAGCUUUCUCCAUCUCGCUGUUAUAUCCAUCUUCUCCCUCAUUUUUUGAGCUACACCACCUCAGUUUUGAAAUGGCAGUUUAAGAUCCGGUUCCGUUUUUGGGAAAAGACGAAGCGAGCUGAGAAUUCGGA
rnacentral:lncRNA from 12 species